UUCGAUUCUGGCUCAGGAUGAACGCUGGCGGCGUGCCUAACACAUGCAAGUCGAACGGACCCAUGGAAAUGAUUAGCUUGCUAUGAAUUUCCGGAAGGUUAGUGGCGGACGGGUGAGUAACGCGUGGGCAACCUGCCCUGUACUGGGGGAUAGCAGCUGGAAACGGCUGGUAAUACCGCAUAAGCGCACGGUACCGCAUGGUAUAGUGUGAAAAGCUCCGACGGUACAGGAUGGGCCCGCGUCCGAUUAGCCAGUUGGCGGGGUAACGGCCCACCAAAGCGACGAUCGGUAGCCGGCCUGAGAGGGCGGACGGCCACAUUGGGACUGAGACACGGCCCAGACUCCUACGGGAGGCAGCAGUGGGGGAUAUUGCACAAUGGGGGAAACCCUGAUGCAGCGACGCCGCGUGGGUGAAGAAGUAUUUCGGUAUGUAAAGCCCUAUCAGCAGGGACGAUAAUGACGGUACCUGAGUAAGAAGCCCCGGCUAACUACGUGCCAGCCGCCGC
rnacentral:rRNA from 1 species